AAUGGGGGAGCCCCCCCAGCACCCCAGGGCCUGGGCAGCGGCUGAGGGCCUGGUGGAGGAGGAAGAGGAGCAGGAGGAAGAGGAGGAGUUGGGCAGGGAUGGUCAUGAGGAGCUGCCUGGGGCCGAGGAGCUGCUGGGGGAGCCCCAGGAGGAGCAGGUACCCCAAAACCCAGGGUGGGCACCCACUGGUAGGGGUACACAGGGCACCCACAUCACUCCCAGAGCACCCAGCAUCACUCCUGGGGCACCCCAUAUUGUUUCUAGGGCACCCAGCUUCAGCCCUGUAGCACCCAGAGUCACUCCUGGGGCACCCCAUAUGUGUUCCUAGGGCACCCUACAUCCCUUCUGGGCACCCCACAUCAGUCCUGGGGCACUCCAUACUGUUCCUAGGGCACUGACAUCCCUCCUGGAACACUCCAUACUGCUCCCAGGGCACCCAGCAUCAUUCCCAGGGCACCCACAUCAUUCCUAGGGCAUCCCAUGUUGUUCGCAGGGCAUCCUGUAUCACUUCUGGGGUACCCAGCAUCACUUCCAGAGCACCUACAUCACUCCUGGGGCACCCCAUAUUGCUCUUGGGCCCACUCAGGGGUCCUCAGCUAUAGUUUGGCUGUGACUGAACCCCCCCAUCCAUCUCCUAACCCCCCCAUUUGCUGUCCCCAGGCUGUGGGGCACCCACCGGUACCGGAGCCCCCCAAGCGCCCGAGCAGCUGGGGCCCGGGGAGCUGUGACAAGGCCGGGGAGCACCCCGAGGUGCCCAAAGCCCCAUCCUCGAUGGGGACCCCGGCGCUGGGUGGUGCGGAGGAAUUGCAGGUGCUGAGCAGUGAGGAAGAGGAUGAGGAUGAGGAUGCAGCUGAAGGCAGCAUCCUGCCCCCGUCGGUGCUGGACCAGGCCAGCAUCAUUGCCGAGCGCUUUGGGGGCGGUGGGAGCCUGUCCCGACGGAGCAGCCUGGCUAUGGAGCUGCCAUUGGCACGGCCGGGCAGCCACAGCGGCAGCGCCCUGAGCCUGGACGGAUGCGGCCUCCCCAUUGACACCGGGGGAGCCCAUAGGGGGAUCCCCCGUGGCCGUCCCCUCCCCCGAGCCCUUCCCCGGAGCCCGUCGGGGGUCGCUGCUCUCCAACCGGGACCGGAUGCUCCUGGAGAAGAUCCGGAGUUACUAUGGGAGCAUCGAGCACCGCGAUGGAGGCUUCAGUGUGCGGCGCAGGGAGAGCCUCUCCUUCAUCCCCAAGGGGCUGGUCAGGAGCUCCGUGUGCCGAUUCAACAGCCUCCCGUGGCCCCCCGACGGCACGGAGACCCCCGGGCAACCGGCACCGAUGGGACCGGGGGGAGAGCGGGGGAGAUGGGGCAGGAGAAUGGGGUGCAGAGCCCCAGGAGUGGGGUGCAGACACCGGAGAACGGGGUGCAGAGCCCUGAGAAUGGGGUCCAGAGCCCUGAAAACAGGAUACA
rnacentral:lncRNA from 14 species